UGCACACAAAUCACUUGCUCAGGUUUUCUUCAAUUGAAAGUUGCAACAAAUAUUUUCAUUCUUUCUUUUGCAUUUGGUGAAUGCAAUUAAAAAUUGAUGUAGUAAAUAAACAUCAAAAAAUUAUUGCACACCUCAAUUAGAACUCAAGAGCUAACAAUUUGGGCAGCGAUUUGGAACUUAUGCAAGAUGCAUUAACGAGUUGAUCCAAUGCAUUCAAAACGUUUACCAGGAACUGGUUUUUCCUCAUUGAAUAAGUGAAAGCAUGUGAGCAUUUAGGUUUGAUGACAUGGCCAGAUUUCUGCUAUAAUAAACAUGCAAUAAUAUGAGUAAUGUGCCCCUACCGUUCUACCCUUUUGUGGCCCCUACCUUUUCCCAGGCAAUCUAAGAUGCUUAGAUUUCCUUCUUUCAAAAUCAAUUUGGCCAAGCAUCACUUAUUUGGCUAUUCUCAUUUGUAGCGGAAUGCUUUCUACAAUUAGUUUCUUAAAAUGGCUCCUAGGGCACAGAAAAUUCUCAGCAAAUGAUCAGAGUUGCGUAAUUCUUACAUACCUAUUGGGAAAAGUUCUUUGAAUACUGAUGGAUCCAACAGUGAUUAGAUGGCAAGAUUUGUGCAUCAGGAGUAGUUCUGUGUAGAGUUGUAACAGUUGAGAAUAAAUUUUUCAUAUUCUUGUUCUCCUUUUUCUUAUGGUAGUUCUUUUCUAUUCCCAGAACAAAAGCUUCACAAAAAACUAAAAUGAUUCCCUUAACCUCAUCACCUGUGUUCAGCUAGGCACCAUUUUUUCAUAAUGUGUACCAAAUGAAUCUAUUAUUCGAGCAUGGUUCCUGGCUAUUAAUCCAUAAUUCCUUGGUUAUUAAAUUUUACUUUGCUGUGGUAAUUGUGAACCAGUGUUAUUUGAUUGAUAUG
rnacentral:misc_RNA from 1 species